rnacentral:rRNA from 1 species
UACGGAGGGUGCAAACGUUGCUCGGAAUCAUUGGGCGUAAAGCGCACGUAGGCGGCCUGUUAAGUCGGGUGUGAAAGCCCUGGGCUCAACCCAGGAAGUGCAUUCGAAACUGGCAGGCUUGAAUAUGGAAGAGGGUCGCGGAAUUCCCGGUGUAGAGGUGAAAUUCGUAGAUAUCGGGAGGAACACCAGUGGCGAAGGCGGCGACCUGGGCCGAUACUGACGCUGAGGAGCGAAAGCGUGGGGAGCGAACAGG